ensembl:lncRNA
AUGAUGACCAACAAGAGAUCCAUAACGCGAGCCACAACGGAGGACUUAAAGUAUCCAUUGAAGCGUGAAGUAAAUUCUAUUGCCAAACGACUGGUAGAAUAUUACCAUAUGCUGCGGGACAAUUCGGUGCAUUAUAAAUAUGAAUGGGAAACUGUCUCCAGACUACUGAUGAAGCGAUUACAGAAUGUGCGGACCCCUCAAAAGACCAAGGGCAGAAAGCCCAAGGCUGCUACACUUGGAAAGAAGAUCAAGGGCCAUACACCUGAAUGGGAGAAGAGAAGAGAAGAGAAGGCAAGGCGCCUUGAGUUUGGAUCUGGACCGAUCGACAGCAUCCGUGAUGCAUUAACUGAUGACUAUCACUGCAGUUCUAGUGGCUCCACGGUGUUUCUUGACAAGUCCCAAUUUAGAUCCAGCAACCCAGAGAGUGAAGAGCAGGUUGAUGGUAAUGAAGCAUGUGCUGCGGUUGCUGUGCCAGGCCUGAGCCAACCCCCUCUGGAGCAGCAGCUCUAUGUGAGCCGGGCUCUGCUGCUGUGUGUGACUGAGUGAUGCAGAGCUACAGUAGCUACGCUCAGGUAACACCCCUAAUAUUACGGCACAGUAUUGUCACACGGUCAGAGCUGUUCAUACUACUUUCUGACCUGUCUGCCUCUUGAGUUAUAUAUUCAUUUUUCCUAGGAAAACGACGAUAAACAUUUUGUUAUGGGAAGUGUCCAUGUAGUCCCACCUUGUUGAAGUCUGUUUUCUUCUGUUUUGUGCCUAAUGAUCACAACCCUAAUGUCUUUUCCCAUGUCAGAGUUACUGCAGGUCAUGCUGGGCGGGAUACAGAGCCACCUGGAUAGCAGCGUAGUGCAUGUGAGGGGCAUGGUGGUUGGGGGGUGUCUCCGCUCCUGCAUGGACAUCAACAGAGCCAAGCUCAAACUCGAGGUAUACUAUAGUAUGGCACCUGAAGUGGCUUAUAUUCUGUUCUCUGCUUAUACUGCUCUGAAUGAACUGGAUGGGUGAAUACAAAUACCAUAAUGCUUUCACCUAUCUGCUGUUCAGAUCAGUGCAAAUGAAAGGAGAUCGAGGAAGCCACUGUAGACUAUUGAAGUGCACCUCUACAAUAAGCUUUGCCUGCCUUAUUAUGAUUAAUGUGUAGGACACAGGGAAGGGUGUGUGUUCAGUGUUUCUUUCCCUCAGGAUGAGGAGACCAAGGAGCUGCUCUCACUGAUGACUCCACUUUCUGAUGAAGAAACGGAGCCACUUGAUGACAGAUUGGCUCGUCCUCGAGGUCAAAGCCAUCACAGGCUGCUUCAGUGGCCCAGAAAUCAGGAGCUGACCCAGACUCUUGUUAUACACUACAUUUAUUAACAUAAUGUUGUCUAUGAGACUGAAGUUGUAUAUUUAAUUCAAAUCAUUACAACUUAAUGAAUCUUCCCACGGGCAGUUAAGGCAUGGUAUGGAGCUCACCAACUUGUAGUCCUAAAAAACAUAAAUGCUUCAAAAAUCACAAAUUUAGAUUAAUUGAUGAAGAUUAUUUCAUUGAGGAGAACAUAUACGAUCUCCUAAGCCUGUGUUUACCACAGACCUUAUUUUCGGUGUUUAUCCAAAAACGCCAUUAAUUUCCCCAUAACCUUGUCCAACGAACCAUGGUGGAGUUAGUGCCUACAAAAAGAUGCCAUUUUUAUUUCUCUCUACAGUAGUGUUGUAUUAACUAGGCUCUAUGUCCCUGUCCUGUGUUUGUAUGAACCAGUGAUGAUUCGCUCACCCCCUACUGACCAGGAGAUGAGAUUAGCCACCUUGCUACCCCUGAGACAGUCUUGGAGAGUAAGAUACAGUAAAAACAGUACAUUCGGAAAGUAUUCAGACCCCUUCCCCAUUUCGUUAUAGCCUUAUUCUAAAAUGGAUUAAAUGAAACAUUGGACUCUGCAAGGUGUUGAAAGUGUUCCACAGGGAUGCUGGCCCAUGUUGACUCCAAUGCUUCCCACAGUUGUCAAGUUGUUUGGCUGGCCUUUUGGUGAUGGAUCUUUCUUGAUACACACAGGAAACCGUUGAGUGCAGGGUACUUGAAUUAAAAUGAGCAGAACAGAACAUGAUCAAAUAUGUUAUUUCCUUACUAGUUUUCCUUUCACCACAAUGGCACUCAGCCAGGCAGGUACAGAAUUGAUUGAUUAAGCGCUGACAAACAUCACAUCGAUAGCUAAAAGGCCGGGCAAAUGUAGAUGUAUUCCUGGCAGGAUACUGAUGUUAAUGAAUGGGUUUUGCCAGACAACCAGGGAUGUAGUGGAGCGUGAACGCCAUUUACGCACGUUUUUACUUGUGAAAUAGCGUUUACUCACCUUUUUAAAUGUAUUUUUGUAUUAUUGUUUACCCACUUAUUAUUACGUUCCCAGCAUUGAUCAACGCUCAGAAGGAUUGUUGAUCAGAGUUCUAACCUCAGCAGGAGCAGUUGACUGAAAUUAAGAUGGCUUAUACAAUUUCUCUUAACAAAAUACAUUUUAUUUACAGAGGGUAGUGAGACAGGGAGCGGUAAGUCAGGCUGCAAUGAAGGAGGCAAAGGAAGAUCCAAAGAGAAAGCGUUGAAGCAAGCAGGGACGGAGGACAGUAUUACAGUUGUACCCAAACUUGGGGUCCCCAACAUUUUUAAAUAGGUCCCCUGAGAGUUCUUAAUCUUAUUAAACACAUUAAUAACUUGUAUCUCUUCAAAUGGGUAUAGAAUGCAACAUUUUAGUCAACUAAAUGAAGGGCAUUUUACACAGUCAGAAUUCGUCAUUGUGUUGGGACAGCUUGUGGGACCCAACAUGUUGACUUAUGAAGACAAUUUAAAUAUUAUCAUGUAAACUGAACAAAAAUAUAAAUGCAACAUGCAAAAAUUUCUAAUAUUAUACUGGGUUAGUUCAUAUGAGAAAAUCAGUCAACAUCAUCAGUACUGACUUACCACUCUUGUGUAGUAAAAAUAAGUAGUGAAAUGUAUUAUUGAGUAGAACUUGUAAGGUAGUGAUGGUGGUUUUUUCAUGUGGUUGAUAUACUGCAAUCUGGUGGCGACGAAAAACAUUUGCAUAAUAGGAACUAUUACAAAUUGAUGAUCCUUGAAAAUAAAUAUUAGUGCUUAAAAGACUGCAGCAUUGCAGUUCUUGACACAAACCGGUGUGCCUGGCACCUACUACCAUACCCCGUUCAAAGGCACUUUAAUCUUUUGCCUUGGCCAUUCACCCUCUGAAUGGCACACAUACACAAUCCAUGUCUCAAGGAUAUAACAUCAAUAAGGGAUCAUAGCGUUCACCUGGUCAGUCUGUCGUGGUGUCCACAACGUUUUGUACACUUAGUGUACAUACCAUGCACAGUUUUGACAAUGUGGAUGAUACAUACUGAAUUUAUACUGAAUUUAUACUGUUUUUCAUACUAAGAUGUGUUGCUUUUUCACAUAUUUGUUAAUUGGUUUUGCAAGAGUUGGUUGAUGGGUCAGUUGGUUUUUGAAUAUGUUGAUGCCAUUUUUUUAUUUUUUAUCUUUAUUUUACUAGGCAAGUCAGUUAAGAACAAAUUCUUAUUUUCAUUGACUAAGAAUAGAAUGCAAUGUCCACCCCAAAAUAUAAGCUUGUUUUACUCCAUUGUUUGUAAACAAUAUAAUUGUACAAAUAAAUUGUUGGUUGCAUAAAUAAUGACUAAAUGUUACAUGAAAUGUAAUUAAGAAAUAUUUAAACCGAAUGAAAACCCCUAUGUUUAAUAUGUAUUGGCAAUAAUUCACUUAAUGGUGAGGCAUAGAAUAAUACAUGUCUUUUCUCACACUGGAUGUUUAAAAUAUGAGCAGGUCAUGCUUCUUUAGUAGUGGAAUAAUGACAAUUAGCACUUGAAUGUUCUUAAUACUGUGUACUUACUGAAUUGAUGUGUGAUUAUUAAUACAAUUGUUCAUUGACUCAUUUGAUACUGUGAUACUGUUUCCAUUUGAAUGAAACUACAUUGAAAUUACUUUGUUCAAGUCAUUGAAAUGACCUGAAAACACUAACUUUCAACUGAAAGUAGGAUAUUAGGAAGAUGUUCUUGAUGUUUUGUACACAAUGUAUACUGUCCAAAAUGUAUCCUUGCCAUAAGUGUCCCCAUGGCAUACUACAAACAGUGCCUUCCGGAAAGUAUUCAGACCCCUUGACUUUUUCCACAAUUUGUUACGUUACAGCCUUAUUCUGAAAUUAAAUAGUCCCCCCCCCCCUCAAACUACACACAGUACCCCAUAAUGACAAAGCAAAAGCAGGUUUAGAAUUUUUGCAAAUGUAUUAUAAAUAACAAAAACUAUCACAUUUACAUAAGUAUUCAGUACUUUGUUGAAGGGACUUUGGCAGCGAUUACAGCAUCAAGUCUUGGGUAUGACGUUACAAGCACCUCCUGCAUUGUCUUGGCUGUGUGCUUAGGGUUGUUGUCCCGUUGGAAGGUGAACCUUCACCAAAGUCGGAGGUCCUGAGCGCUCUGGAGCAGGUCUUCACCAAGGAUCUCUGUACUUUGCACCGUUCAUCUUAACCUCGAUCCUGACUAGUCUCCCAGUUCACGCCACUGAAAAACAUCCCCACAGCAUGAUGCUGCCACCACCAUGCUUCACCAUAGGGAUGGUUUUGGCCAGGUGAUGAGCGGUGCCUGGUUUCCUCCAGAUGUGAUGCUUGGCAUUGAGGCCAAAGAGUUCAAUCUUGGUUUCAUCAGACUAGAGUCUUGUUUCUCAUGGUCUUAGGUGCCUUUUGGCAAACUCCAAGCGGGCUGUCAUGUGCCUUUUACUGAGGAGUGGCUUCCGUCUGGUCACUCUACCAUAUAGGCUUGAUAGGUAGAGUGCUGCAUAGAUGGUUGUCCUUCUAGAAGGUUCUCCCAUCUCCACAGAGGAACUCUGGAGUGCUAUCAGAGUGACCAUCUGGUUAUUGGUCACCUCCCGGAGGCCCUUCUCCCCUAAUUGCUCAGUUUAGCAGGGAGGCCAGCUCUAGAAGAGUCUUGGUGGUUCUAAACUUCCAUUUAAGAAUGAUCAAGGCCACUGUGUUCUUGAGGGACCUACAAUGCUGCGUAAUCUUUUUGGUACCCUUCCCCAGUUCUGUGGCUCGUCACAAUCCUGUCUCGGAACUCUACGGAGAAUUACUUCGACCUCAGCUUGGUUUUUGCUCUGACAUGCACUGUCAACUGUGGGACCUUUAUAUUAGACAGGUCAUGUCCAAUCAGUCAAAUUUCUCAGGUGGCUCCAAUAAAGUUUAUUAAAGGAUGAUCAUUGGGAAACAGGAUGCAUCUGAGCUCAAUUUCGAGUCUCCUAGCAAAGCGUCUGAAUCGUUAUGUCAAUAACGACAGGGUAGCCUAGUGGUUAGAGCGUUGGACUAGUAACCGAAAGGUUGCAAGUUCAAAUCCCCAAGCUGACAAGGUACAAAUCUGUCGUUCUGCCCCUGAACAGGCAGUUGUCCUAGGAACAGUAGGUUAUCAUUGAAAAUAAGAAUUUGUUCUUAACUGACUUGCCUAGUAAAAUAAAGGUUAAAAAAAAUAUUUUUAAAAAUAAGGUAUUUGCAAACAUUUCUGAAC